rnacentral:rRNA from 1 species
GACGAACGCUGGCGGCGUGCCUAAUACAUGCAAGUCGAACGAGAGCGACCGGUGCUUGCACUGGUCAAUCUAGUGGCGAACGGGUGAGUAACACGUGGGUAACCUGCCCAUCAGAGGGGGAUAACAUCCGGAAACGGAUGCUAAAACCGCAUAGGUCUUCGAACCGCAUGGUUUGAAGAGGAAAAGAGGCGCAAGCUUCUGCUGAUGGAUGGACCCGCGGUGCAUUAGCUAGUUGGUGAGGUAACGGCUCACCAUGGCCGUGAUGCAUAGCCGACCUGAGAGGGUGAUCGGCCACAUUGGGACUGAGACACGGCCCAAACUCCUACGGGAGGCAGCAGUAGGGAAUCUUCCGCAAUGGACGCAAGUCUGACGGAGCAACGCCGCGUGAGUGAAGAAGGUUUUCGGAUCGUAAAACUCUGUUGUUAGAGAAGAACAAGUGCUAGAGUAACUGUUAGCGCCUUGACGGUAUCUAACCAGAAAGCCACGGCUAACUACGUG